UAGCCUAGUGGUUAAGGCUAUGGAUUGUAAAUCCGGAGACGGCGGGUUUGAUUCCAGU
rfam:Aedes albopictus isolate Foshan contig30259, whole genome shotgun sequence.